AGAUAGGGACGAAUGCAAAGAUAAUCCUUGUCACGUGAACGCUACAUGCGAAAAUAGAGAUGGAAGCUACAGAUGUUACUGCAAAUCUGGUUUUAGUGGAAAUGGACAGUCCUGCGCUGGUACUGUUACGUAGUAAUAACAUAAAUAACCUAACUGAACAUAAUUAAGAGAACAUAGCACAACAGAAGAGCUAAACCACCGAGCUGAACAGAACAGAACAGAACACCACACAACGCACCACAACACAACACAACACAACACAACACAACACAACACAACGAAACACAAUACAAUGCACAACAGUAAGAAUGAAAACGAAAAUAAGAGCAAACGUAUUGCGAAAGCAAGCUUAAAUUUUGAAUUGUAUUUUUAAUUUCCUAGAUAUUGACGAAUGUUUGACAAACCCAUGUCACACCGAUGCUUCGUGUACCAAUACAAUCGGCGCAUUUUAUUGUACUUGUAACGAUGGUUACAGAGGAAACGGAC
rnacentral:lncRNA from 1 species